ACAUAGUCCAUGCAUAGUUGCCUAGUUGGUUUUAAAACAAAAAACCCGUUUUUUCUAACAUCUCAUCCUUGAAUUAAUUGGAUUCACUCUAUAAAAUGUCCGAUCCAAGUCGAGAACAAUAUCAGUUUCACUUGAACAUUGGCUGCCUAGAGAACGGACGAAACGGCAUUGCAGAUUAAUAUCAAACCCUAGCAGGUAAUCCUCGGUUGAAAAGGUUGCAAUCACUUGACGAAGAAAAAUCAAGCGUUUAUGUUAUCAGGGAAUCAAUCCCUUGACGAGCAGGGAGAUGAGUUACAUGCCAUCAUACCCAAAAAUAUUAUCUGGAAAUUUGAUAAGCAGAUUCGAGAGGGUGGGUUGUACACUAUUGAGAAAAUUACACUUGGCUGCUGCUAAACCCAAAUUCAGGCCAACAAACAGUGAUAAGACAAAUAUAUAUAUAUAUAUAUAUAUGAGAAAGCUAAUGAAUUAUAUCUGGAGAAAGUUAAAAGUUUCGUGGUUAAUGGUUUGCAUACAACUGAAUAUGCUGGGGGAGCACGACUCUAACCCGUAACUUUUGCUGCAUCAUCCUCAUUGUGGAGCUGAAAUCUAUCUUAAACCGUACAAGUUAGCCAUCUGGACUCUAUCUUUUGGCUUAUAAUUUAAAAGGACUACAUGAGCUGCUUGAGUUCAUGAGCAACUUAUUAUUGAGGCCAUAUUCAAGGGAACUCAACAGGAAUUUAUGCGGGAAUAAGAACAAAAGAAGAAGAGUAGACCUGAAGUACAUGCUUCUAAACAAGCAAGCACCUGAAGAUAAGAACAAUUCAUGACACUUAUGCUUCCCAAAUAUUAUUCAAUCAGUAGGUUUACGAAUGGUAACUCUCGAAAGAUAGCUCUCAUAGACCAUCAAAUGAUGAGCAAAAUGGGUUCUUUAGGUGAACACGGCCAUCACCAUUUCGAAUGCUUUCUCUGUGUAAACGAGUUCUCGGAAGAUAAUACAAAAAUAGAUGUAAAACAAUUGAAAGAUCUUCAAAGUCCAUCGUGAAGUUGAAUAAUAAAGUAGUAGUACUCAAGAACCUGCUAAGACUGAUUGGUUUCUGUACGACCCAAUCCGAAAGUCUUUUAAUUUAUCCUUCUGUGCAAAACCUAAUUGUCGCCUACCGUCUCAGAGUAUUGCAGUAUGAUUCCGAUUUUUUAUACUAGCCGGCGUAACUCUUUUCAAUUUAGUUACACGUAUUAUUGUUUUCAAAUUUUUGCUUGCAGAUAGUUUUGGUGUUUGGGUUUCUCUUCGAUCAUCACAUUGGUAUUUUGAGUACAGUAUAGUCAUCGAUUUGAAACUUGGAAUGGACAUGAGAUAUUUGAAUUACAGUAAUGUAGUCUUUCUCUAUAAUGUGCCAGAGUCAUUUUUGUUAGCUGAAGAUCUGAAUUACAAUAAAUCAGGCACCAGACAGCUAUCACACUUCCAAACAUGCUUGAGUUAUGAUGUUACCAGCAAGGUAAUGGUGACACAGCUACUUAGGGACGAUCUGUGAACAAAAAUACAACAUAAAUGUUCAAUGGAAAAUAUUUUAAAUUUUUUAUUUGACGAAUGGAAAAUGAUAUUGUCUUAGCAAGCGGGAGCUACGCCACAACAUCAGGUAUAGCGACUCAUUUCUAUCUUUGGUUGUUGUGAAUAAUAUGUAUUUGCAACCACCGCAAAAUUAUUUGAAAGGUCUUGCAGCAUUUAAUUUCACUCGGGUAUCAUUUGGCAUUCAUUUUUUAAUUCCAUAAAUAGGACUUGGUGGUCGUUUUGAUUUUACUGCAUCGACAAUAAUAUUAAUCUUGACUGCACAAGCUAGUAUUUUAAACUCAGAGCCUGUUGGGGUGAGAUUUAUCGAUUCAAACUUUGCCAGAACUUGCCUUAGCUCGGAAUGUCUGAUGCACCAACGAUUCAAAUUAUAAAAGAACAAGUCACCAUACAUAUGUUUUAUUGGAUUAUCUAUUCCCACAGCCCAGUUAGUUUAUCAAGAGACAACUUUGUAAUUAGUUAGUUAGUUAGUUAUUGUUAUGAAUAAGGAGGAUAGAGGUUACAAACAACUUAACAAAGAAGUGGUUAAGGGAACCAGUUAGUUAUUCCCAACUACCGAAUGUCUUACACCAAUGCAAUAGGGACAGACAAGCGCUUUAAGUUAAUGGGCAGCUGUUUGCUAAACGUCUUGAUAAACAUGAAACAGGUCUCCCAAAUCAGUUCCGUUUUGAUUCCAUGGGGAUGAAUAUGUUAAUGGAGAUUCUUUGUUUAAGUAAUGUGUGUUACUCACUUCAUAAAUUGCAUGAUGCUGUUAAGGUUCGUAGUUUCAAAACAACUUAGAGUAAAUACUAGCAAUGCAUAGUAAAUAUCUUAUAAUAUUGUUUAUUUUCUGAAAAUUUCAUUUGAUAUUUCCGUUUGCAUUCGAAUAGAUUUUACACGGUCAUUUUAUUGUGUUAUUUUUCGAUUCUAAUAUCAUUUGAUGCUUGCAGGUGUUUGCAAAACUUCGGUAUAAACAUGGUACAUGAUUUACAGCUUACUUAUCUUUUUAUUUUGAGAACUGGACUAUUUAAUGGAGAUUAUUCAAUGAAUUCCACUGGAAUUACAUACAUAUAUAGUAACAACCAACUUGAGUAAGGCAUAACAUCGUGUUUUCUUUUUCCCUUUAAUUCUUUGGUGCACCACUGCCCUCAUUAACCGUUUUGUUGGCGCGGUAAAAGUUCAAAGAAACUUGAUUGUACGAUAUGCCAAUGAACUAUUUGAUUUUUACAAUGUAACCUGUGCAAAUUUCAGGAGAUGAAGAGUUUGGAAGUGCGAGGAAUAAGUUUUCUACUAAAGCACAACAAGUGGAUGUUGGACAAGUACUACCUGGUGUUGCUAGAGCCGUCCGGGAGGUUUAGGAACUAGAUAGUAUGAAAAAUCGGCAAGGUAUUAAAAAUUUUCAUUGACGACCCUCAACAGUCGUUAGUGUUUAGACUGUUUAAGUGACGACUUUAAACUGUCGAAGAUUCAUUAAUGGCGGAAAUGUACGACAGUUUUGGGUCGUCAUAAAAAUGAUCAAUUCCCUGACGACCCUUUGGAAGAGUCGUUACUAUUUUGGUUACGCAUUUGACGACUUAAACAGUCGUUAAUGUUUUAGAAAUAUCGUUAUAGACUCUCGUUAAUUUCUAAAAAAAGUGGUUAGUGUAUGACAGUUUAGAGUCGUUAUUGUUUUGAUCAUGAUGUAUAUGACGAUCCUAAACUGUCGUUAAUGUCAGUGAAGGAUCGUUAAUGAGGAUCGUUACUUGAAAAAAAAAUAUAUUAACCAAGUAUAAAA